UGGUACUGAAGCAGCUCACACCCCUCUUGGAAGGCAUGACCACGACUUAGGAGACAAUCAAAAGUGCCCCGAUCUGCCUCAUCAUCAGAAGGAAGAGGGGAGAGGGAAGAAGGAAGCAAAGCAAAGUAUGACAUAUGCCUACAAAUGCCUGCUUGGUGCUUUUCUAUUGAGAAGAGCACACUUAUUAUUGAGAAAAACAAGACUGGAAAAUCGAGGCCAAGAGAGAAUAAAGAUGCCCCUAAUAACUCUGGGACUUGAGCCUACGCCUUCCAAGUCCUCUUCUAGAGCUAUCAGCCCACCCCCCUUCACAACACGUGGUCAUCAACUCUACGCCUGGAAGCUGGCAGGAAAGUAUCAGGGGCCUGUGAUGGGGUUCAGGACAUGCUACCCCCAAAUACGGUGCUUUGGCAAGUGGAAUAUUUUAAGCUAAAGGACUUUGGGAAAUGGCAGAGGCAGGAAGGACUACCUGGCUUUGUCCUUCUCCCCUGAAGCAGGUCACAGCCCUUCAUGUGAGAGGUGCCUUACCACUGGGAAGAAAGGAGCAUCUUUAUCUCUUAAGACGGGAGAACGCCUAGAGGAAUCUGAAGGAACAGGCCUUGCUCCGUUUCCCCCAGUUUACCAUCCUUAGCUGAGACCCUGUCCUGUCCUGUCCUGCCUCAUUUUUCUACACCUUUCCACCCUUCAUCAAACUGGGUAUAAAAACCACUCAGCUUAACUAUUCCUGUGGGUCUUCACUUCCUAAUGAAAGCUCCUGCGUCACGUAAAACUUACAUUAAAU